CCUACGGGAGGCAGCAGUGAGGAAUAUUGGUCAAUGGGCGCGAGCCUGAACCAGCCAAGUAGCGUGAAGGAUGACUGCCCUACGGGUUGUAAACUUCUUUUAUAAAGGAAUAAAGUGAGGCACGUGUGCCUUUUUGUAUGUACUUUAUGAAUAAGGAUCGGCUAACUCCGUGCCAGCAGCCGCGGUAAUACGGAGGAUCCGAGCGUUAUCCGGAUUUAUUGGGUUUAAAGGGAGCGUAGACGGGUUGUUAAGUCAGUUGUGAAAGUUUGCGGCUCAACCGUAAAAUUGCAAUUGAUACUGGCAGUCUUGAGUGCAGUUGAGGUAGGCGGAAUUCGUGGUGUAGCGGUGAAAUGCGUAGAUAUGUGGAAGAACACCGAUGGCGAAGGCAGCAUCCUGGGACGCAACUGACGCUGAUACACGAAGGCGUGGGGAGCAAACAGGAUUAGAUACCCCUGUAGUC
rnacentral:rRNA from 1 species